UACGAAGGGGGCUAGCGUUGCUCGGAAUCACUGGGCGUAAAGGGCGCGUAGGCGGUCUGCUAAGCGUGUGGUGAAAGCUCGGGGCUCAACCCCGAGUCUGCCAUGCGAACUGGUGGACUUGAGCACUGUAGAGGCAGGUGGAAUUCCGGGUGUAGCGGUGGAAUGCGUAGAGAUCCGGAAGAACACCAGUGGCGAAGGCGGCCUGCUGGGCAGUUGCUGACGCUGAGGCGCGACAGCGUGGGGAGCAAACAGG
rnacentral:rRNA from 1 species